rnacentral:lncRNA from 1 species
GUCCAAUUACAAGAUAUACCAUGGAUAUAUCUAAAAUAUACACUGAGUAUACACCAAAAUGUACAAGGCUAUACAAUGCUAAAUCAUGUAUUUUCUCUUAUCUCAACACCCCCCCUCAAUAUACACUAAGUAUACACAAAAUGUACAAGGCUAUAUAAUGCUAAAUCAUGUAUUUUCUCUUAUCUCAACACCCUCCCUCAAGUUGAAGGGGGAUACCACCUGCAACUUGAGCAACAAGGGAUGAAAGAUGGUGCCUGGCAAAGGCUUGGUCAGAAGGUCGGCGAGCUGGCGAGUGGUAGGAACAUGGAACAGUUGAAUAAGGCUAUUCUGGAGCAGAUCACGCACAAAAUGACAAUCCACUUCAAUGUGUUUAGUCCAUUCAUGAAAAACUAGAUUUUUGGCAAUGUGAAUGGCUGCCUGGAUGUCACAAUAUACAGAAAAAGGAAGAGAGACAGAAACACCAAGAUCAAGAAAUAAACGAGACAACCAGGAUAGUUCAGCAACAACCUUACUUAGGGGCCUGUAUUCAGCCUCAGCAGAAGACAAAGAGACCACUGGUUGCUUCUUAGAUUUCCAACUAAUCAAAGAGCCACCCAAAAUAAUACAGAACCCAGUAACAGACCUCCUCGUAUCAGGGCAAGCAGCCCAGUCACUAUCAGAGUAACCAACAACAUUGAAAUCAUUGCAAUCAGAAUAAAAGAGACCCAUAGAAGAAGUCCCCUUAAGAUAUCGCAGGACAUGAAGAGCAGCCGUCAUAUGAGGGAGUCUGGGGUAUUUGAGGAAUUGACUCAGAUGUUGCACAGCAAAACAGAUGUCAGGCCUAGUAUGGGUCAGAAAUAAGAGCUUACCAACAAGACUCCUAUGCUGAUCAGGAGAAGGUAAAAGGUCACCAGAAUCAGCAUGUAAUUUUGCAUUAAUGUCCAAAGGACAGACAACAGAAGAGACGUUGACACAGUCAAACUGUUGCAGCAAAUCACAAAUAUAUUUGUGCUGAUUAAGGAUCAUCCCACCAGGAACAGAUGACAUCUGCAUGCCUAAAAAUUAAUGUAGGGAACCUAGGUCCUUAAUUUUAAACUGAUCAUCCAGAAACAACUACAGAGCAGCAAUUUCAUCACAGUCAUCCCCAGUAAGAAUAAUAUCAUCCACAUAAACAGCCACAAUCUUAAGGGACCCAGGUGUACCUUUGAUGAACAGGGAAUAAUCAUUCAAAGAAUGCCUAUAGCCUCUGGAGUAUAGGGCAGAAGACAACUUGGCAUACCAUUGUCUGGAAGCCUGUCUGAGCCCAUAUAGGGAUCAUUCAAAGAAUGCCUAUAGCCUCUGGAGUAUAGGGCAGAAGACAACUUGGCAUACCAUUGUCUGGAAGCCUGUCUGAGCCCAUUAGGGAUUUGUUUAACUUGCAAACAAGGGGAGCAGGAGAGGCAAGUGGGGCAGAAACAGAGACAGGAGCAGAAACAGUUAAACUUGGAGGAAGUUUCAUAUACACCUCCUCAUCCAAAUCACCAUGCAAGAAAGCAUUAUUAACAUCAAGUUGAAAUAAAUUCCAAUGAUUUUUCACAGCCACAGCAAUAAGACACUUAACAGUGCACAUUUUAACCACAGGGGAAAAGGUGUCAGUGAAUACCAUUGUCUGGAAGCCUGUCUGAGCCCAUAGAGGGAUUUGUUUAACUUGCAAACAAGGGAAGCAGGAGAGGCAGAGGGGGCAGAAACAGAUGCAGGAGCAGAAACAGUUAAACUUGGAGGAAGUUUCAUAUACACCUCCUCAUCCAAAUCACCAUGCAAGAAAGCAUUAUUAACAUCAAGUUGAAAUAAAUUCCAAUGAUUUUUCACAGUCACAACAAUAAGACACUUGACAGUGCACAUUUUAACCACAUGGGAAAAGGUGUCAGUGAAGUCAAUACCUUCAACCUGAGUAUCACCUCUAAUAACAAGUCUGG